CAAAGUGUUAAUUAAGGUGAAUACAAUCAAAGUGAGUGAUACAUAAAAUAGAAUCGAUGAAAAUACCAUGAAUAACGAUUCACACAGAGGGCCAAAAUGAUCCAUGUGUAAAAUUCGAAAAGGCUCAGAAGGAGUAUCAGUUAUUCGCAUCUCACCUUCACUGGACUUAAAACCAGCAUUGGAAGUUAAGCAAGUCACACAUUUACUUAUGUGGUCAUGGACCCGUUUAUGAAGAAAGGGAAACCAGUAAUGAACACUGAGUCCCUGGACUGCUUUCUCGAAACCACAAUGAGCAAGAUCGUCAUGCAUACACUAAUGCAUGGCAAUCCGUGACAAUAGUAAACUCUAAACCAUACAGGAAUAUAUGGAAACGCUCAACUGCCUUAACCACAGCCAGCAUUUCUAACUCAAAGCUGUGGGUGACACCCAUUUGCACACGGCUCAAUUGGACACGAGCCACUCACAGCGCUUGAGACUACAAAGUUCCUA